CAGUAGCCGCGGGAAUACGUAGGUGGCAAGCGUUGUCCGGAAUUAUUGGGCGUAAAGGGCUCGCAGGCGGUUUCUUAAGUCUGAUGUGAAAGCCUCCGGCUCAACCGGGGAGGGUCAUUGGAAACUGGGAAACUUGAGUGCAGAAGAGGAGAGUGGAAUUCCACGUGUAGCGGUGAAAUGCGUAGAGAUGUGGAGGAACACCAGUGGCGAAGGCGACUCUCUGGUCUGUAACUGACGCUGAGGAGCGAAAGCGUGGGGAGCGAACAGGAUUAGAUACCCCCGUAGUCCCUGUCUCUUAUAA
rnacentral:rRNA from 1 species